GAUCAUGGCUCAGGAUGAACGCUGGCGGCGUGCCUAACACAUGCAAGUCGAGCGAAGCGGUUUUAAGGAAGCUUUCGGAUGGAAUUAAAACUGACUGAGCGGCGGACGGGUGAGUAACGCGUGGGUAACCUGCCUCAUACAGGGGGAUAACAGUUAGAAAUGACUGCUAAUACCGCAUAAGCACACAUCUUCGCAUGGAGCAGUGUGAAAAACUCCGGUGGUAUGAGAUGGACCCGG
rnacentral:rRNA from 1 species